AUAUUCCCCAUACUGAGAGGGGUGAGAACCCUCGACAAGGUUUGACGGCCAGAGGCCGCCCAAAGGGUGAGCGUAGCGAAUCAAGCCCUCUCUCACCGCCA
rnacentral:sRNA from 1 species